rnacentral:lncRNA from 1 species
ACUUCACUCACUUCGAACAUUCACAUUGUUCAGUAUGCAUACGACAUUGCAGUACACACAACCAAAUUACAAAGAGUUGACACAUGUUACGAUGUGCACAUUAAUUAGCCAUUGCACAUGCACAGAGGUCGCUCGUUGUAACUUUGGUCAAUACAACAACAGCACUUCAAUCACUCAUGACAGUCUCGAGCACACAACAAGCACAUCAACAAUCAUCCAAGAACAUUUCCAGUAGCAAACCACAGAUGCCCAGCAUACAUCAUGUUCGUCCAGACUUCUAACGACAUUCUGUCUCACGGAUAGCAUGGUGAUUAAGUCGAGGGUCGAUGACGGGGACGUUUGUUCGAAAUAUACGAACACUCUAUCUAUAAAUUACUAAGACUUAAGACUACUAAAAUUCCAUGAUUCACAUCAACGAUCACUGAUCACUACUCGAUCUAAUCAGACAUUCGUGCAACUAAACCAGGUCUAAGUAAUUUCUCAUUUGGAAACUAUAAAUUCGAGUUAUACCCGAUCUAAAACAUUUAUUAAUAACAAAUAACUUUAACAAUUCAAACUCUUGUAAAUUCAUGGAAAGUAAAAGUGGCAUUUUAGCAAACGUUUAUAUACAGUAUUGACAUAUUUACAUGCUUAAAACUAAUUCCUAGGUUACAUGGCUGACGUCUGACUACAAAAUGAUUAAAUAUUCACCGAACAUUUAAUAAACCUACACUGUAAAUUAAAUGAAGAGACGUUUCUUCUCACUUCAUCACUCUUUGAAUAAAUUAUCUUAAAUUCUACAAAAUAGAGAAUUUGGUUUUAUGUUUGAAAAGUGUGAAUUUCGUAAAUAUUUCUAUCAAAUUUCAUCAUUUCCAUAACCUUGCUGCGAGUAGGCCUAUUCUAUAUUCUCUACGGUCUUCCGAACAACAUUCCUAGUUGGUAUAAAGGUGUCUUUGUUUCUACACCAUCACUUGCUAAACAUAUCUAAUGCCUGCAUCUAGAUAUCAAAUCCUUUUCUCCUAAUAAUAAAAUCAUCCUAACUUUCCUGUUUCCAACCCAUCGCGCCACUUCAAUGGCCAUUCCAAGGUCUCUCCACCCCGGCCUAUUUCCUGCCACUACAUCUCCUAGUAAUAUCUGGCCUCGAGAUUUUAUCUCCCAAAUAUUAGACUAACAAAGUCCUUUUUAUACCAACAACUUUCUAUGUUCAACCUGGUCCAUAACAAGACAUAAAACUUAACAUUCCAACCAUUCUAACUCGUUGCAUUACAAUCAAGUAAUGUUCUGAUUAAAUAUUUAAAAAUAAUUUUAUAAGAAUUAACACACUACCAAAAUUCAAGUUAUUAAUAAUUGUAUGUGUGCAUGAAUAACUUGGAAGAAUGAGAGAGAAGGAGGGGGGGGGGGGUAGGAGUUAAAACAUCAAGAGGGGUUCCAUGCUGUCGAAGACUUGAAGAAACAUUGAAGCAAACAUGGUGAAGACUGCUUAAAUUCGUUCCCUAUCCAGGAUUGAAUGUAAGAAAGCAUUGAAGAAAACAUGGUGAAGACUGCUUAAAUUCGUUCCCUAUCCAGGAUUGAAUGUAAGAAAGCAUUGAAGAAAACAUGGUGAAGACUGCUUAAAUUCGUUCCCUAUCCAGGAUUGAAUGUAAGAAAGCAUUGAAGAAAACAUGGUGAAGACUGCUUAAAUUCGUUCCCUAUCCGGGAUUGAAUGUAAGAAAGCAGCUA